rnacentral:rRNA from 1 species
UACAGAGGGUGCGAGCGUUGUCCGGAAUCACUGGGCGUAAAGGGCGCGUAGGCGGCUUGAUAAGGUUGCGGUGAAAGCCCGGGGCUCAACCCCGGGUCGGCCGUGGCAACUGUCGAGCUGGAGCACUGUAGAGGCAGGUGGAAUUCCGCGUGUAGCAGUGAAAUGCGUAGAUAUGCGGAGGAACACCGAUGGCGAAGGCAGCCUUCUGGGCCAACACUGACGCUCAUGCACGAAAGCGUGGGGAGCAAACAGG